rnacentral:rRNA from 1 species
UUCGCAAUGCCCGAAAGGGUGACGAAGCGACGCCGCGUGGGUGAGGAAGGCCUUCGGGUUGUAAAGCCCUGUCAGGAGUUAAGAAAUAUAAGUGCGCUAAUAUCGCAUUUAUUUGACGAAGGCUCCAAAGGAAGCCACGGCUAACUCUGUGCCAGCAGCCGCGGUAAUACAGAGGUGGCAAGCGUUGUUCGGAAUUAUUGGGCGUAAAGAGCACGUAGGUGGGUUUGUAAGUCAGAUGUGAAAGCCUUCUGUUCAACGGAAGAAUUGCAUCUGAAACUACAAGUCUUGAGUGUAGGAGGGGAGAAUGGAACUUCUGGUGGAGCGGUGAAAUGCGUAGAUAUCAGAAGGAACGCCGGCGGCGAAAGCGAUUCUCUGGCCUAUUACUGACACUCAGUGUGCGAAAGCUAGGGGAGCAAACGGGAUUAGAUACCCCGGUAGUCCUAGCUGUGAACGAUGGGCACUAAGUAGAGGGGUUUU